UUUAUUGGAGAGUUUGAUCCUGGCUCAGGAUGAACGCUGGCGGCGUGCCUAAUACAUGCAAGUCGAGCGAACGGAUUAAGAGCUUGCUCUUAUGAAGUUAGCGGCGGACGGGUGAGUAACACGUGGGUAACCUGCCCAUAAGACUGGGA
rnacentral:rRNA from 1 species